AACGUAUUUGGUAGGAUCUUUGC
rnacentral:siRNA from 1 species